UGCCUCCUCUCCCAGUCCAGCCCAGUGCUCCAUACUGGGUGUGCAUGCAGGCUGAGGAGGCAGAUCAGAGCAGUGGUGUUGCCCAUUCUACCCUGAGCUGCAGCGUAGCUCUGAGGUGGAAGAGAUCCCUGCUACAAAG
rnacentral:snoRNA from 1 species